GAGUUUGAUCUUGGCUCAGAUUGAACGCUGGCGGCAUGCCUUACACAUGCAAGUCGAACGGCAGCACGGGAGCUUGCUCCUGGUGGCGAGUGGCGAACGGGUGAGUAAUGCAUCGGAACGUAUCCUGGAGUGGGGGAUAACGUAGCGAAAGUUACGCUAAUACCGCAUAUUCUGUGAGCAGGAAAGCGGGGGACCUUCGGGCCUCGCGCUCUUGGAGCGGCCGAUGUCGGAUUAGCUAGUUGGUGAGGUAAAGGCUCACCAAGGCGACGAUCCGUAGCAGGUCUGAGAGGAUGAUCUGCCACACUGGAACUGAGACACGGUCCAGACUCCUACGGGAGGCAGCAGUGGGGAAUUUUGGACAAUGGGGGCAACCCUGAUCCAGCCAUGCCGCGUGAGUGAAGAAGGCCUCGGUUGUAAGU
rnacentral:rRNA from 1 species